rnacentral:lncRNA from 13 species
AUAGACAAAAAGAGAAUUCAAGGACCCUCAGAGGUAGAGAGGCGAGGCAGGGGUGAGGACAUCAUCCUGCUAUUUUGACAGUCCCUGAAGGACAAUACAGAAGAGGUAUUUGCUCUUAUUCCUUCCCUUUCUCUAAUGUAUUUUGUAAUAAAAUUAGCAAAUGUAGUAAGAUCAUUGCUUUACUUUACUAGGACUGGAGACCACAGCAGCGAUUUUACUCUUGCCCAACCUCUUCAAAGAGGACCCAAGAUUUCACCGCUCGGCGGAAAUCCAUUUCACCAUGAGAGUGAAAUCCCGCUGGCCUUUGAUGGGGAGAACAUCCUCGCCCUCGAGGACGUCCUCAUGGGACUUGGGGCUCUGCUAGGGCUGAAUUUUUUAUUUUCUCUUAAAUUUCCCCAAAAUGUCAGAAAACACUUAUGUUAAGUUACUGUGUUCUGGGGAGAAGAGAAGUUGGGGUGAAGUUACCAGAGCCGGUCAUAAAGAUGGAAAACUUCCUAACAUAACUAAGUGAAUAUGAUAUACACACUAAAGCUGAAAAAUCUGUAUUUAGCAUCAAGUCUACAAUAUUGUUAGUUUACCUAUGAUUCAUUUUUAAUGUAUGUUGUUUUUAUUGUACAUCAUUUAUAUUGGUUUUAAAUGUCAUGCAAAGCACUAUACAAAAUAAAUGUAUUAUUUAUUAUGGUCUGACAUGUCUGCAGAAAUGUUGCAAUUUUGUAAUGUGUUUUGUAAAUAUUAAUUCACAUUUGUGGUGCCACUAAAAAAACAAUGAAUUAUUUAAAUCAAUAUUGUUAUUAUUAUUAUUAAAAUAUGUUUUUAUAAUGGAGGGAGGAGGGGGGACAGGGAGUUUAAAAAAUGAACCCCAAAAGGUUCUUUGAGGAACCAUUAUAAGGGGUUCUUCAAAUAACUUUUAGGGGUUCCCCCACAGUUUCAAUUUUAAGAACCCCUAAAGGAUACUCCAGGAACCUUUACUUUUAGUGUAUAUUGAUAAAAGUCACCUUGUCUGAGAGACAUUUACAUAGUUAUACACAGCCCGAUUUGGGAUUACUAUUUUAUAUCGGCCAUAAUUUGACGUUACCUGCUGAGUGGGCAUGACCAAAGUUAUUAUAUUUAGCUACACUUUGUAGUACAUUUUUACACUAUAAUAAAUCUUCCUGAUGCCACAUCGCCCGUUUUCGAAGGGAGUCGUUGGUUUUUAGGGGCAGUCGCUUUUUAGCUUUUUGUCUGAAAGUAUUUUCUCAGCUGCGAUACCAACUCCAGUCAGCAGAUGGCGAUGUGCGUCUUUAAUGUGAUUCUGCCACUGUGACGUGUAAUCUUGUGGACGGGACGCACAAGAUUAACACACACAGUUAAUCACUUUUCUACCAGCCUGGCAGUUUCUAGCCGUUCCUCUCCUCCCUAGAUUAGAGGGACCUUUGAAGGGGCCUCUUUCCUGUUGUCCUUUCUUGUCUCAACUCUCACAUUACCUCAUAGUGACACAAUGGUCUAGUCACACACAUUAUGGAAUUAUGACUAUCACAUUUCAUACAAUUAUAUGAUUUCAGGGUGGAGUCCUUAGUCAUUACUUUAAACAUAUAAAUGUGUGUUAUAAUAUGACUGUUUGUAUUUUUGACUUCAGAGCUCUCUGAAUAAAGAAUUAACAUUUUGCAGUAUCUGAGACUUUGCCUAAUUCUUAUUUUGAAUCCGGGAUUUACAACCUCGGGUGAAUUGGUCAAAGCUAUAAAAUAGUUCGGUUAGAACAUCGGGAGAAAAUUCUUAUGACAAGAGCCUACGAGGCUUUUCUAAAAACUCCACUUGUUUCGCUCACCUUUCUUUUUUUUUAAAACUACGCUUGAGAUGUGGUAUCCACUCUGCUCGCUGCCUCUCAGAUCAAAGGUGGGUCCAUUUGCUCCGUUCCCGAAGUGUCUCUCUGGGACACCAAAUUAGAGGGAUCCCUCGUUGAUAAUUUACCAUCAGGAGUCAUUUACCAGGUCGUGAGUCACCAAGUGAAGAUUCACAUCCCCAUCGCGAAAUGUGGUUGUUCAUUUCUUUAAAAUCAAUUGAGACAAACUUAUCACACAAGUCAGAGUUAUUCUUAAACUAAAUCUUUAUUCACUUAAUAUGGGAGCAGGGCAAUACAACGCACACGUAUAAAGUGAAUCAAUUGAGUGCUCUGCGAUAAUGAUGGCUGGUUGACGAAUCACCCCCAGAUGAAAGUACAAAGGUCUUUUAUAGCCAAGAAACACCCCUCUCAACCUACAUGAACAACAGAUGUAUAGAACGGGUCACAAGGUUAAGAUUUGUAUGAAAGAGUUAUAAUUCUCAGCAGACAGUAUCUGCUAUAAAAACAGUAGUCUUUGUGUAGAGACCAGGGGUCUGGCCCUGGGGUCAUCUCUCCCUGGUACCAUAUAGAAUAUUAACUCAUGCUCUGGAAUGUGGUCUCUUUAGGAUUUAUCACCCAAAAUACAUUGUAAAUCUCCUGUCAGUGUUUUCUCCCAGAGGCCCAUCCUCAGUAGAACACAGACACAAUAGUUAUAAGAACCCUCUAUUCUGUUGCAUAAAACAACCAUUUGAUGCAAUAAAAGUAUUAUAACAUAAUCUUGCAAUUUUUGCUCUCAGUGUCCACUGAAAGUUGACUAGUAAUAACAACUGGGACAUAAAAGUCCCCCACCAUGAGACCCAUUAAAUCUGCCCAAGAAGAGGCAAACAAAAGAACUGGUGUAACACAUACUGACUAACGAGGUGACACCAAUCAGUGCGCCCUACGUGCUAACAAGCUAUACGUGCUAAUGAGCGAAAUGUGCUAACGCGCUAAAGUCCAACCUCAAAACAUAAAUGGAAAAACCAAAGCCAGUAACACAUUCCCCUUAAGACAAUAACAAAUAUAUCCUACAUUUUUGAUGGAAAGGUUUGCACACCACCAACACUUCCAUUUCACAUUAUAAUCAACUACAAUGCUUCACAUUCUACAAUAUUAACAUGGUGUCUACUGGCUGUCAACAAUUAAAAACAAUCAAAUGUAUUUCUAAAUAAUAAUAUACUAUAGUAUUAUUUCUGACCUUUUUCUUUCUAUAGAAUCCUAAAGCUAAUUUUGAAAAAAAACUCCACUGUCUUCUAGAACUCUCGUCUUCCUAAAACUCACUAGCUUCUAGAACUCUCGUCCCCUUGGAACGAGCUCAAACAAAAAUCAUCUCCAAUACGGAAAAACUUGUAGUCAAAAUCAAUUGUGAUCGACUACACCCCCCUGAAGACAAUCAACAACCAAGUUGUCCUUACCACGGACAUAUCUGAUUUCAAGAGGAAACUCCUGCAAUAUCCGUAGUAACUUUCCACCUCACCGUGGAGCUUCUCUCUCUUUUCAGGGUUCACUAGAUAGGCAUGUUGUUGGAUCUGGGCCCAGUCCCCAAUGUCAUGCCCUAGUACAUUUGGGUUGGCACAUCUGAGAAUGAUAUUAUAAAAGCAGGAUAACAAUGUCAAUAUAAUUGUACUCAAAAAUUGUCAGUUGGUGUAUAAAUAAUUAUGAUUACUAAAUGUAAAUAUGAACACCAAAUGUUCACCCCUUUGUUAAUAUGUAUUGGCAAUAAUUCACUUAGUGGUGAUGCAUGGAAUAAUAAAACAUGUAUAUUUUGUCAGGCUGGAUGUUUGAAAUAUGAGGUGAUUUGAGUCAUGCUUCUUCAGUAGUGGAAUAAAGACCAUUAGCAUUUAAAUGUUGUCAAGAAAUACUGGAGUGAUGUAGGAUUGUUAAUAAAAUUGACUAUAGACCAAUUUAUUAUACUGUGUCCAUGUGUAUAGGCUGCAAGUACGUUGAAAUUAAGUUGUUUUCAAGUCAUUGAAAAAACAACAUUUUACUAGGUGGGAUUCAUUCAUUCACCAUUCACAUAUUGAUUACAGCUAUUAGAUUUUUCUCCUGUGUGUGUUCUCUGGUGCAGCUUCAAAGUGUUUGAUGUUGAAAGGCUUUUCCCACAAUC